rnacentral:rRNA from 1 species
GACGAAGGAUGCAAGCGUUAUCCGGAUUCAUUGGGUUUAAAGGGAGCGUAGGUGGCCUUAUAAGUCAGUGGUGAAAUCUCUCAGCUUAACUGAGAAAUUGCCAUUGAUACUGUAGGGCUUGAGUAUAGUUGCCGUUGGCGGAAUAUGACAUGUAGUGGUGAAAUACAUAGAGAUGUCAUAGAACACCGAUUGCGAAGGCAGCUGACGAAACUAUAACUGACACUGAGGCUCGAAAGUGCGGGGAUCAAAACAGG